UUUGUCUUUCAGUAUGAGCUUAAAUGCUUAUGGAAAAAUAACACUCUUGAUUUAUCCUAACCACUUUUUCCCUAUUUUCUAAUUUUGUGUGUGUGUGAGAGAGAGAGAGAGAGAGACUUUUUGGAGAGAUGCACUAUUCAAUGUUCUAGAGUUAGUUUAAUUCAACGUUUCUCAUUCCUGGUCCUGGGAACCCUCUGCCCUGCAUGUUUUAUAUGUUUCCCUGCUCCAACAAACCUGAUUCAAAUGAUCAGCUCACCAUCAACCUCUGCAGAAGCCUGACAACAACCCAUUCUCACCUGAGCUCACUCACUCCUAAUCAUGUUCUGCUCUAUAUAUCCCGCCCAUUUCUUUUCUUCUUGCUGGCGGCAACACUAACCACAUGUGAAUGCCCUCUGUACCUGUGUUUCAGAGACACACCUACAGUUGUAAGUUACUAAAAAAACCUUACAGAAAACCAUACAGAAAACAACAAGCCUCAUCUCCUGUUGCUCUACAUGUGUAUGGUGGCAAUAAAUGGCUUAAAUGGAAA